rnacentral:misc_RNA from 1 species
GAGCAGCGACGACGUCCCAAGCAGGCCCAUUCAUUAGUCGGGUCAAAGUGCGAGCACGCCUUGCCCGCAGUCGGUUUCCUGUGCUGAGUUCCUAUCGGAAAGGCAAUCUUUCGGCUACAAACGUCCCGUAAUCCUCCCCUCGCAGCGGCUCCUCACGGGGACGCGGUGCGGGUAGGACAUCAAAGCACGCGUCGUGUGUCGCAAUCCUCGCGCUCCCCCUGGCGGGUGCCCGGGUUGUCGACCCACGACGUCGUUCUCGGUCUCUCGGAUGCGGAACACGCGGCGGGUACGAGGCCACGGCCUCUAUUGUCCCUCAAAAGAAAGGGCGUUCUACGCUCCCUGCGGACGACUGCCGUUCCGGUCUUGACCCGGAGUCCCAGCGGCUCGGAUCAUGCCGGACCGGCGUCGACGAGGAAUGCUACCUGGUUGAUCCUGCCAGUAGUCAUAUG